rnacentral:rRNA from 1 species
CCUACGGGUGGCUGCAGUGGGGAAUCUUGCGCAAUGGGCGAAAGCCUGACGCAGCAACGCCGCGUGAGGGAAGAAGGCUUUCGGGUUGUAAACCUCUUUCAGGUGGGACGAAGCUUCCAGGGUUAAUAGCCCAUGGGGUGACGGUACCUCCAGAAGAAGCCCCGGCUAACUACGUGCCAGCAGCCGCGGUAAUACGUAGGGGGCAAGCGUUGUCCGGAAUCAUUGGGCGUAAAGCGCGUGUAGGCGGCUUGAUAAGUCCGGUGUGAAACCUUGGGGCUCAACCCCAAGCCUGCACCGGAUACUGUCUCGCUUGAGUUCGGGAGGGGAGAGCGGAAUUCCUAGUGUAGCGGUGAAAUGCGCAGAUAUUAGGAAGAACACCAAUGGCGAAGGCAGCUCUCUGGAACGAUACUGACGCUGAGACGCGAAAGCGUGGGGAGCGAACAGGCUUAGAUACCCCGGUAGUC